UCUUCAGCAGCUGAGUGGGCUUGGAGCGAAUUAACAACGUGUUUUUUUUUUUUUUUUUUUAAUUAAUUUGAGGUAGGACACAAAAUAUACAAUAGAAUUUUUUGUGAAGCACUGCUGAAGGCUUUUUACUCCAAGAAGGAUCAUACAUUAUUCUUUGUUGACAAUGCCAGGGUGAUUCAGAAGGACAAGUAAAAUGUUAGCCAAGGCAAUGCACAGGAGCGCAGACCAGCCGCACUCCAGCCCCUCUUCUCUCAGUUUCCUUAGGAUCCUCUAUUACCCGCUCCCCUCCAUUCCUAGGCCCAGCCUGUCAUUCCUCUCUAUGGAGUUACUGCCAGAUUGCCUUGCCUCACUGUAACUGGAACAUCAAUUUUCCCCAUGAAUCUGUGAGCCCUGCAAAGUCAGAGACUGUGCCUUGCUAACACCCUAGUCCUCAAAAGCACACAACAGAGUACUUGACACCCAGGAGGCUCUCAGGAGGCAUUGCUGUUGAGUAUAGAAAGCUAGAGUUAGGUAAGACAUUGUGGAAUAUCAUGGAAAAAUCAGUUGAAUGGAAUAUAAUGGAAAAACCAAGUCUAAACUCAGAAAGACAGAUGUGGGACAGCACUGAAGCAUGGUCUCAGCAUCUUCCCAUCUCCUGGGCAGAUAAAAGGACAUUCAAGUUGAGCUGGGUCCCUCGGGUCCAGUUCUGGAUGGCUUCGGGGAGCCAGCCAAGCCCUUCCGUUAGGAAGUCCUGGCAGCACGGAGGUCUGUGGAGGGCAGAGAAGAGUGAGAAAAGAGAGAAGUGACACAGUCAAAUGUGGCCAGACCAGGAAAGGCAGACAAAAAGAAUGUUUCUGGGAGCACAUGAACGUUCUCAAGAACACAGACAGGUUGAAGAUGACCAUGACCAAGGACAGACUCCUGGAUUUCCAGAAGCUGCUUGAUGAUUCUUCCAUAGAUUCCAGAGAAGGGAGGCUAGAAGCUGGAUGGCAGGGAGGCCAGAGAGGCUGGGGCCUGGGAAAAAGAUUGCAUCUUUCUAGAGCCAGCAUGAAGGGGAAUAGGCAGGGACAGCAGCAAGCAGAGGCAGGCAAGUCAGUUGGGGGCCAGGGAAGGGGACAGACACGGGAGUUUCAUUUUAGCAGUAACCCUCUGGGCAGGGGUUUUUGUAGAAGAGGCCUUGAGAGAAAGAGUCCGAGGAGAAGAGGAAAACUCCCUGAGACCUGAGGGAAAGAGAAAGAAAUGGAUGUCGAUUUGACAUGCUUUUGUGAGUGUCCCUCUCCCAAGUCAAGGUGGCAGGUGGGGGCAUGACAGGGUUGGAGACCUUCACAAUCACUUCUCUGCAGUGUGGGCCCGUCUCUAAAAAGAACAGACAGGCAGUCAUAUGGAUCCAUGGGCCUUUGUCAGAAGGCACUGGCACCUCUAAACUGGUGAUCCCCAGCGCCAAUCCAUGGGGCCAGUGUACAUCCGCGGGAAACUCGCUAAAAUUACAGAAAAUGAGGUACAUUUUUCAUAGUGCUAAAUUCAGUUUAAAAAGUUGUUCCUUUAUGCUGAGAUUUAUUCUCCUCACUUUUUUUGGUAUUAAAAUGCUUCAUGUUUGCCGAACAUUAAACAAUGAUGGUAGAUCAGAGUUUGAGUUUUUUCCCUCAAUGUCCUUACUUAGCAAAAUUUAAAAAUGGUGUUCUUAGUGGGUCCUUCCUCCUACCACCAUUUAUUUUUCAUAUUCCUGUUUGUAAAAUAAAUUAUUGGGGAGCAAUUGUUCUAAAACUAAUGUUUACAGACCUUUACAGUUUUAAAAAGACAAUUUUAAGAAAAAUGAAGUAUUUUUGAACACCAAAGGGUAGAAGUUUCUGGUUUGCUUUCCCAGAUAGGAUUUACAACCUCAUGCCAGUGUACCAGUUGGAUUGCGAACUGUUUUCUGUGAGGCCCUGGUUAAAAAUGAGCAGGAGGCCAAGACUUUUUGACUCAACUGUUUCCAAAAGGGCCAAGUGACGACUUUUGUGUCCAUCUCUCUCCAGAGACACCAAUGAACAGGUUUGAGGUGGGAACAGGUUCGCGCAGCCCUAGGAUCCCAGACCUUUAGACCUGGAAGAACUUGAGAAUUUAUCUUGCCCACAUUAUUCUGAUGGAGCAGAUUUACUCAAAGCCAUGCAACCAACUAGUGGCAGAGCUGAGACAGGCCCAGACUCCAAACAGCCCGGCCAGCCCUCUCCCUCAUCUCCACAUGCCCCCAUGCUUAGGUUUACACCAGCCUCCUCUUUAACAGAUGAGCCUCAAGCCAAACGAUAGCUGCUUUUGCCCAGCAUGCUAGGUCCACCGGGGGAGACAGAGUCCCAUGGAGUAAAGUGCAUUUUCUCCUUUGUCAUAAUGGCUGUUUGCCUCAAGCGUUCAAUGCCUUCCUGAUUGUGUGACUCAGAGCUGCUUGCUGCAGCCUCUCAUUCCCCUCCAAGAGGGGCUUCUCUUUCAAUGACCCAGGGGUCAGUUCUAAGACCCAGGCUCCCAUAAGCUACCUCAGCUUCCAUGAUUUCAAUAAGGCUUUCCUGCAGACACCCCCAGUGCUCUGCUCUGCUCCCUCCCCUGUCUCCCUCCCUGCUCAAUGCCUACUGCAGUAGGGGUAUCUUGUUUCUAGUAAACUCUACCUGGUGUGGGUCCCAAAUCUCCUAUAUUGGCAAUAAAAUUCUCAUUGUAGUCUCCUUGUAGUCAAACCUGUUCAUUGGUGUUUCUGGAGAGAUUCACUGUAGGCAUGACACACACACACACACACACACACACACACACACACACACACACACACACACCCUAGGCCUGAUGGGGGCCUAACACAGUAACCUUACAGUGUGACUGUAGGGGUAUUAUAAAGAGGGGCAUUAGGAGAGGAUUUAGGCUACUCUGAGGAAUGGGGGAAGAUGUAGGAAGGCUUCACAGAGAAGACGUUGGAGCUGGGUGUUGAAGCAGGAGUUAGAUGUGGGGAGAGGACCUUCCAAGUCUGGCUCCCUGCCCCUGGAUAUUGAAUUAACCCCAGAGAGCAAAGCAUCAGCUGAAGGGGAGUACUGCAUCAAGAGGCCAGGAAGACUCACCAGCUGGAAUGCCGCCACUGUUCAGGUGGCAUAAAAACCAAAUGGUCCUUCCUUACUGAUUUGGAUAUGCCACCAGCUGAUAUUUCAGAGUUAUCUGUCCACUGACUAUAAACUGAGAUUUAGCACCCUGAUGUCAUUUAAGUUACUCUGUGUCUGGUGCUUGUUUAAUUAACUUAUUUAGAUUUUGUACAAUAAUUUAGUUUUAUGGAGCCCAUGCUAAGAAAAAUAAAGUGUGAUAAUCGAAGCUCAUUGAAACAAAGAAAUCCAGAAACAUUCUACUGAUCUUUGUGGAAAGAGCAUUCACAUAGGAAUCAGGAAGAGUUGGCUUCCACCUCUAGAUCAGCUAAGUGCCUCAGCCCUAAACCAUCAUCCACUUUACUUUCUCAUCUGUAGAAAUUUUCUAGGGAGGGAAAAAGCAGACUAGAUGGUUUCUAAGGACUCUUCUAGCUUGGCCAUUUUUAGGAUUAAAUUCAAGGGAUUCCUUUUGUGAACAGCAGUCCAAAACAUUCCCUUCCAUGCCCAUCAAUCAUGUUUAGCAUUUGCUUCUGAGGCUCCGAAUUUCCUGGCUUUCUGAGGAACUCUUAGCAUUGGUAGUUUGUUGACUUAAAAAUAGCUCAACUGCUGCUGAUCAUCAUCCCACAUUAGCUACUGCUGAGGAGAAGCCAGCAGGGCUGAAGGAAGUUAGAAAAAAGGAGCUGCGUCUGGGGCAAAGAAUCACCCCUGGGAUAAUGGGAUCACUGCUUUUCCUUAAAUGAGCAAAGCAGGCCUGAGCUCAUUGCUAAUGUGAGCUUGCCCACAUGGCUAGUGGGAAGUUGGGAGAGGAGUGGCUGGGACCAGGCACCCCAUCUGCCACCCCCAUGCUCCAUGAAGUUUUGCUGGAACCGGCAAGGCCUUUUUCUGCCCCAGAGGGCUUCACAAAGAGGUGAGGGGCCUUCCGCCAAGAGAGAGGACCCUUCCUUCCGAGGUCCUGUGUACUCCUUUCCAUUGUUGAUGGGCAUCUUCUGUCUGAAGGGCUACUGGGCUUCUUGCCACCACCAGAGCUUCCAUCUGAUCUCAGGUUUACAUGGCUUUCUGUUGAGCAAAUAAAUUCACACUCAUCCCCGCCUCCAACAAGACAAAGGCGAUUCAUUCACAGGAGCUGCUGCUCAGCUGACAGAUGUUUUGGCCUUCUGGUCCUGAAGUCAGACAUGCUGCUGACCCCAAAGGUGAAAGGCUCUGUCACCCAUUCUAAUCCCCCUUGGCCAGUUGCUACCCAGGAUCAUCCAAUAAUUUUGACAUUUGUCUUUCCUCCUCUACUCCUGCCUCCACAGCUCUUAGUGGCUCUUAGAGCUGUUUCCAGCGUGGCCUUUGGUCAGGACAGCUGGAGAAUGGAAAAGAUGGGCCAUGUGAUCAGGGCUGCUUUGCCACAGCUGCUCAAAUUCUGUGUUUGCAGACCUAACUGUGCCUUUGCAAACAAAAGGCCAUGAGGAGUGUUUUCAUGCAGUUCCCCACACACAGAAUGAGCACCCUCAGUGAGAAGUUCCUUUACAGGAAUUUAAUGGCAGCUGAAAAAACAAGUGCCACCUUUCUGGCUUAUCCUAGCUUCGAUGCUCAGCAACCUUCUACUCACUUGUUCACAGCCCAGCAGGGGAGAUAAGACCUUUGCUAAACACCCUCAUUUUAGAGUGUAGGGGAGCACCCAACCAAAUGGUUGUUGAGUCCAGAAGAGGGCACACUGACCUCCCACUGGACACUCAUUGAAGGUUCUACAGAGGAGGCGACAUUUGAGCUGAGCCAAGAGGAGAGGUAGGAUUUCACUGGGCAGAAAUGGGGAUGGGAGUGCUUUCAUUCAUGCAGUUACAUUUGUUUGAAAGCAAGAGAAUGCACAGCCAAUCUGAGCAACAGGAAGAGUGAAACGGCAACCGGUAGGCAGGACCAAACCAUUGUCAGUGUGCUUCCACAGCGUGUCUAUCAGCUCCCCUCAGAGUCCUGAGCCACCAGGAAGUACUGACCCCAGUUUGAGUAAAACUCUUAUUUAGAUGAUUUUCUUCAUAGAAAUCCAUUAAAAGGGUUUUGAGGAGGAAGUGACUCCUAAGGAGCCUUUAAAAAGAGAAGGCAGAUCCAUGAUCUCUACUUCUUGUCUAGGCUCUGUGGAGUCUUUCAACAUUUUUCUACACAAUUUACUGGGUUUUAUGCUCAUGACCUAAGCUACAACUCACGAGAGGGCCGCACGCAGCCUAUUAGCUUCUCAGUGAGGAAUAAGACUCUCAAGAAAUCACUUUGGUGCAUUUCAACUGCUUUCAUAGGAGAGAUCAUCUCUGGGGCAGAUGAUUGGGUGUGAUAGAGGUUUGAGUCACCUAUAGGAGAAUUGAGUGAAACUGACUCCUUGUUCCCCAAUCAGUUGUCAAGGCAGAGAGUUUCAAAAAGAAGACCACAAAGGUGCUGCUCCUCCCACCACGCCUGCCAGGCCUGGAGCUCCAGAACCCCCUGUGCCAGCAGCCUGAAUGCAGCAUGUGAGCAGUACCAGCAGCAGCUCCUCCUCCAACCCUAUACUGGGAACCAGCCUCUCCGCUGCCUUUCCCUCCUACAGCAAACACGCUUGCCCCCAAAUUACACCGCCAUUCUAUGCCUUUCUUAUUGUAUCAAAUGCUUGAGGAUCCCUGUUCAUGCAAACUAUUUAGUUUAAAAAUAUAUGGUAAUGAGGACAUUCCUCAAAGAAAAUUGUAACCCACAGAGACAUAAAACGGUGGUAGGCCCCAAACUGAAUUUGGACACCAAUAUUAUUGAAGGCCAGCAAAAUGUUUUAGGAGAAACAGCAGGAAGGAAAAAGAGGCCAACAGAAGUGAAUAGGAGGCUAAGAAAGGGAACUACCUUUCCAGGGAAGACAAUGGAACCAGUUCACAGGGUGGUGAACUGUCAGAAGGGAAGUCAGAUCCAAAGGUGACUGCCACAUUAAGCAUUAAAGAGGUAUUUCGCUGGGGCUUGGAAUGAUCAAAGGAAAACUGGGCUUUUGAGGCAACCUACUGGGGGCAGACAGAAGCUGGAAAGACCAGCUGAAAGAACAGCUAUAUGAAGAAAUCCCCAGAAGGCAGGUUUCUCAUACUGGACUUGGCUAUGUUGCCUCCUCUCUCUGAUACCCUGAGAUUCUUUGUUCUCCUGUAUGGCUGUUCUUGCCCCUCAAAGGCAGACAUUGAGCAUAAAACUGAGAUAGCACAAAGCUUCCUUUCCAAGUUAGAUCAAUUUAGCCUUUCUGGUCCUAACUUGACCAGAGGCAGGCUUCAUCUCAUUUGGGAUGCCGGGGCUACACCUCCAAGACCAAGGCUCCUUCUGCCAAGGCAAGUACAUAAAAAGUGAAGUAGAAAAUGAAUGCUUUUCCCCUCCCAAGGGGUCUUAGGAUUGGAGGCCAGAGCCCUGCAUACUGACCCCUAUUUGGGCUGACCCCCCGCGUGCCUUCCUUCCCUACUUUUUCUGGCCAUCCAAGACGUGCUAGUGCUCUCUCUGGCCUGGGUCUUCUGCUCGUCAUCCUUUGAUUGACUAGACCUGAUUUGUCUGUCAGCUUCUAUUUUAUCAAAUAUCACUGGUUGCUUUGUCUUUGCAAGGCUAGGGUUACUGCUGGCUAAAUUCAGCCCACUGGGAAUGAUUAGAAUCCUCGGAAAAUACUGGUUAUGCUGGGAUUUAAAAACAAAAGUCCAAAGCAUGUGGUGCCACCAAAGAUAAAACAAAACUUAUUCUUGAAAUUUGCACAAAUAUUAUAAAAGUUAAGAUUUUCAUAAUUAUUUCCCUGUCAGAGAAAAAAUAUUCACAAGAUUCCUUCUGUAACCUCCACAAAAUGUAGAGCUGCAAUUCUAAAAUAGCAACAGUGGGGAAAAAAAGAACUGGGUAUAAUAAAGUGUAGGCUUCUUAAUCUCCCCCUUUAUCACCCAGUUACCCCUUCUUGAUCAUUUUUGGGGGGUUCUCAUCAAGUACCUCACUGUCAUGUUCUUGCCAUCUAAAGUCACAUUCAGUCUUUUUUUUCACCUCUACCUGCCAUCAUACUCUUCAAAGUAUGUGUCCAUUCUGGCUCUGCUGACAGGCAUGAGCUAGUCAAUAAUCUGGAACUAUUGUAAAUUCAAUUGAGCAGUCCUGGGCAUAUUCACUUUUUGGGGUUUUUCCAUCUGCCAUUCUCCUGUGAAGGAGCAUUAUUCCCCUGAGGGAAUUCGCUGACCAAGAGGCCUUGCCUAGUCCCAAAGGUGUGUCAUUGGCUCCACCUGCGAAUCACAGACUCAUAGAAUCAUGGGGCUGAGAGUUGGUUUAACUGCCCUCAGAGGGCCCUUGUCAAAUCCAAGUCUGAGUUCUCAACUUUUAGCUAAUUCAAAACAGUGGCCUAUUUUCAUCAGGGCAAUGGUAGGCAAGAUGUUAAAGCAGGCAAAGCGUGAUCCUUGGUGUCCUCUUACUAGAGAAGGUGGCCAGGGUUUCCUCAGCCUUUUACCCUUCUCUGGCUUUCCCCUCUCCCCACUGUCCUCACAGAUCACAGCCUCAAACUGAAGGUGUCUGGCUUCAUAACUAGCACCACCUCCAAUCUCUGCCUGUGGAAAGUCCCCUGCCAUCUUUCGAGGUCCAGCUCAAACGCGACCUCCUCUGGCAGGCCUUCUUUGAUGUCCAGCCCACGUCUUUCUCUCUUCUGAAGUCCCACAACCCUUGAAAUUGCCCUGGGUUGAAACUGUACUCGGCACUUUUUGCCAGUAGACAGUAAGCUCCUCAAAGGCAGGAUCCAUGUCUGAUUCAUCUCUGGGUCCCUUGUAGGGCUAUGCCCCAUAAACCCUCAAGGAGGCUUGCAGGCAUGGCUUGGGGAGGAGUAGGCUGUGAGGAGCUCAGGCUGGGAGUCUGCUUCUUCCUGAGGCUAGUAAUUUCCCUUCCCUCUUGGUCUCCCAACCCUGAAGGACCGCUCUUUCUCUUUCACAGUCUUCAGCCAACUGUCACUGGGGGACAGAAUCCUUUGGAAGGCUUCAGCUGUUAACAGUUUAGAAUGUCGCUGUUCCCAGGAGCCUUUGCACUAAAUAGUGGAGAUGGGGUGGGCAGAUGUGGAGGGGUGAAAGAGGUGAGUGAGGUUGAGAAUCUUCACUCCCCAGUGACCUGCACUCUGAUUAGAGAAUUUAGGCAGGACAGGCUGGGCCAGGGAGGCCUUUUGAGGGUGAGAGAGCUAGUUCUUGACACCCUUCCAAUCAUAGCCCCUUAGUACUCUGAACUGCUUUUCCUCUCCUUCUGCCUAUGCCCUUUAAAAAAAAAAAGAUACAUGUCCUGGAACAUGCUAGUCCUUAAAUAAGUAGUAAUUAGUAUUGUCAUCACUAUAAAGUCAAGAAUGAAAACAACAUAAACAUGUGAAAAUACACACAGCCCAGGCUAAACACACAAGUGCUUAGAGAUGCCAAGUAGGAGAUGUAGGUGGGUUUUUUUUUUUUAGGCAGAGCUUCUGAAAGUCAGUGUCCAUCUGGGUUUUGAGGCAUCUGCCUUCUUAGUGGAAAAAACUGUCUGAGCAAAUACAAGGAAGUGAAAACCAGCAGGUUGUGUGUACACAAGAAUGGCUAAUAACUGAAGAGAUGGUCCCUCUAAGGGGCAGAUAAGUAGAGCUGAUUAGAUGGCAGGAGGCAGUGAGAGGGCAGAGAGGAGCCAAGUUGAAGGAACACCUGACAACCAAUUCACCUUUGGCUGCAAUUGCACGUGUCCAUGCCUCAGUAAGAGGAAAUGUCUUCUAGGAGCCUGAAAAUCCCGGGCUGAGGAUGAUACAUGGGACCUCAUCCAAAGCAGCAAGUAUAAAGGAAGAGGCAAGAUGCAGGAUGCAGCAGGGUGUUCAAAUGCAGAGAGGAGGGCAGUAAUAGUGGUGAUAAUAGUGGUUUCAGCCUUUGACGCUCAACAAUUGCAGCAAAAAAGUUCAGAAAGAUAAGACCAGGGAGAAAAAUAGACGAUCAGGGAGGAGGAAGUCAUUAGAAACAACGGUGCUCUCAGGGCACUUUGGUUUAAAAUAUUGACCUUGUAUUUAGUAUUUUGCUAGUGAUUUCAAAAAUUAACAUUUUUAUUGUUUUUCUGGGUUGGAAGGUAUACUGAGGGCUUGACAAAUGUUGAGUUGAAGUUCUGGGCUGGCCCCACUCCCUGGUGCUAAAUUUGCACAAGUGAUACCCCUUAUCUUGGGGGUGUUGUGGAAACCAUUGCUUCCACCCCACUCAUCUCUUUUUAGCCCUUAGCUAGUCAGUAAAUCUUGACAAAUUAAGUCCUCUUUACAUGGCUUGUGCUUCUCCCUACAGUGUCACUAAGCUAAUACAUGCUGUAAAGUGUGGAAGGGAGCCAGCAAUGCUUUCCAGAGAUAAAACUCUCUCCCUAUUUUUUUCCAACCCAAGCCCACUCCCAUGUCAAGUUAACCAUGGUUUUCAGUGGAUGGUAAGAUUAUGGGAAAUGUUUAUUUCCUUUAAGCUUUCUUCAUUUUCCAAAUAUUAAUUCCAUAGCUAACUUUGUUUGUUUCAAUGAAAGAAAAGUAGGUUGCAGAUUAUUGGAGAUUAUUGAAGUUAUUCUUAGAAAGUCUUCUGAGAGAAUCCUCCUAAGUCAUGAAAUUCCCAGUGACUUGACCAUGUCUCUUUGUCUCUUUCAAGAGAAAAUCCUCAGCCUAAUAUUCAAGGUUUUUAAUUUAUUUUUUUAAAUGAUGCAUGACAAGAAACCCUACAAGGUGAGCUUUAAAAAUGCGUUUCUAAAUAGAACAUUUGCCAUUCAUCCCUCAGGUAAUUGUGUCUCUUCCUUUUUUUUUUUUUUUUUUUUUUUUUUGAGACAGGGUUUCACUCUUGUCACCCAGGCUGGAGUGCAGUGGCACGAUCUUGGCUUACUGGAACCUCCGCCUUCCAGGUUCAAGCGAUUCUCCUGCCUCAGCCUCCCGAGCAGCUGGCAUUACAGGCGCCUGCCACCACGCCCAGCUAAUUUUUGUAUUUUUAGUAGAGACAGGGUUUCACCAUAUUGGCCAGGCUAGUCUCAAACUCCUGACCUCAAGUUAUCCGCCCACCUUGGCCUCCCAAAGUGCUGGGAUCACAGGCGUGAUCCAUCGCGCCCGGCCACGUCUCUUCCUUUCAAUGUAGGAUGUCACUCAUGAGCAUCAAUUCUUCACUGCAUUAAGGAAUGUGUGAUUUUAGAAAGUGCCUGAGUAUAGAAUUGUGAGGGUGUGGCCUAUGUCUUAGGCCUUGGAGAAACUCAGCUAGCAGAGAAGAAUGGAGAAAGUGGUCAUAACGUUAUGAUUGUCUCAAAACUAAAUGCAGAUAAUAUGACCUUGAGCUGUGAAGCACAAGAUGCCACAGAGACAGGGAUGUGGGAUGAUGGCAGUGAUAGACAGGGACACAGGAUGAAAAGGGCUUUGGGCCUAGUGAGACCCUGAGCAGAGGAGCCAGCUGGUACCAUGAGAUAAUAAAUUUGUGUGUGUGUUUUCGUUUGUUUGUUUUGAGACAGAGUCUCACUCUGUCGCCCAGGAUGGAGUGCAAUGGUGCAAUCUUGGCUUACUGCAACCUCUGCCUCCUGGGUUCAAGCAAUUCUCCUGCCUCAGCCUCCUGAGUAGCUGGAACUACAGGCAUGCAUCACCACACUGGGCUAAUUUUUGUAUUUUUAGUAGAAACGGGGUUUCACUAUGUUGGCCAGGCUGGUCUCGAACUCCUGACCUCAGGUGAUCCGCCCUCCUUGGUCUCCCAAAGUGUUGGGGUUACAAGCAUGAGCCACUGCGCGCCACCUUGUAUUGCUUUAAAUUAAUAAGCUUUGGUAAUUACAUAGCAACAGAAAACUAAUACAGUGAGUAAAGAGGGAAGUAAAUGUUGAGGACCGAAAGGAUGCUACAUCUGGGGCGCUAUGAGAAGCUGGGAAGCAAAAAAGCACCCUGGCUGGCUGGAGUCAUUCUGUCAGAGGUGUUGAAAUAUAGUCAAGCAAAGAAAACCUGCUCUCCUCCUUAGGAGAGCAGCACUUGAAUCCCCCUGGCAGGGAUUAAACCCAAAGUCUCCUUUAUGAGAGGAGUGCUCAGGUGACUGGUGCUGGAUAUGGCUCCAUGACUUCUACCCAAGAAAAGCUUGGUAGGGAGAGUGGACUCAAGACAGAGGUGAGGUGUACACACUCGGGUACACACAAGCACUGCCAUUUUGUGGUGCAUUCCCAGUUCUUUCAGAAUAUUGGAGAAAUAAAAGCACAGCCAGUUUAUUUUUCCUCCAAAAGAGCCAAUAUUUGGGUUUUCUUUCUUCUUUUUUACAUUUUUGGAAGGGUGACAGCAGUUUUUGUUUUUUUGUUUUUUGUUUUUUUUCUAAAAACUAGUGAAUCAUUUUAAUGUUUAAAUCAUAAAGGAUUCAGAGGGACUAUUUCUUUAACGUUGGAAAUAAUUGGAAGUUAUGUAAUUUGCACAGAAAGAACAAAUAGCUUAAAAAAAACCCUUUAUCUCCUUUUCUUGCACCAUCUCAAGGGCCCUAAAUCCCCACUGGAAACAUUUUUAAUGACAAAGUUAUCUUUAUGAAAUUGCAAAGUUCUAGUAAAUUAAAUAAUAGAAUAUUAAGUACCUAUUCUGUGAAAAAGCACGGCACUGUGCCAUGAUGAUGUCUAUAACACAGAAGCAAGUUACAGACAUAGAAAGACAAUUAACAAUACAGGAUAAUUGUACAUGGCACAAGGAGUCCAGACAAUCAAAGGUGGAAUUGCUAAGGAGGAGGGAAAUUAUCUAGAGUCCAGGCAACCAGACUUAAGCCCUUCUUGGAAGGAAGGAUGACUGUCCAUCAGUGGUGAGGAAUGAGAAGAAGAGAACUGAAAAGGCACGGGUAAAGUUGGGAAGAUCAGAAGGGUCUAGACAUAUUGAUGAUAAUAAGUAAACCAGAUAAUGGCAAGCCAGAGAUAAUAAGUAAACCAGGUGGUAUUCACAACAGGAAGUAGGGGAGAUGUUUGGAAAAGCAAUCAGUGGUGGAAGUUUUGAUCGCUGAGUCUAGACCUUUCCAAUCUGCAAUGGAAAGCCACUGGAGGCUUUUGGAGCCAACGAAAGCAAACGUGCCAUGAAGAUCCAUGAUUAGUAGUGUUUGGUUUUGUUUGGAUUGGUGGCAGGGAGCCUGGUGAGAGUUGAUGGCACUGAUGAGGACCUAGCCAGGGCAGUGGCAAUGGAAAGGAGAGGAGAAGGUGGCAUUUGAACUACUAUAUACAGAAAAAUCAAAAGGACAUGAUGCCACCCUAGAAAAUCUAUUGAUGUCACAAGGCUUCAAAGAUUUUGGCUGAGACCUUGCUUCUUUGAGGGGGGACAAGUGGUCUCAGGUAAUCUUCUUUCUCUUUGCAGAAGAAUAUAAUUUUAGUGUGCUUACUCUAACAUUCUUACAGAAUUAGCUCAUGACUAAUUAAGAGUGUCAGAGAUUUAAAAAAUUAGUCAUGUCUGGCACAGAGCAUGGUAGUGGUGUGAAAGAGCUGCCCGGAGCAAGUAUGUGACAACUUUUAAAGAUGCUCUUUGGGUGCAGGUUGGUGCCAAAAGUGCUGCUCGAGCUAUGAGAUUCCAUGGGCUCCCGUAUAUCAUCAUCUUUGGUUCCCAGCUAAGCUGUCAACUUCUGGGUUUGCCUCAAUUUCCUUCUCAUGGAAAUAGGGCCUCAAAAGAGGAGCACCCUGAGAAAUGUAUGUGAUUAGCCCUAAUGCCAGUUUCAUUUUCCCCCACCCAACCACUUGACAUUGUUCUUUCAUCCUCUCUGCAGCAGUUGUGAAACUGAGCCAUCAACUGUGCCUAGAGAUCACUGAAGUGAAGGACCGGAGACACUAAAGCUAAGAGUUAACGUUUAUUGAGCAUCUACAGUAUACCAAGCCCUCUUCUAGAAACAAAUGAACACAAAGUUCUUGGCACAGUGCCUGGCACAGUCAGGCUCCAUCAAGUUUCAUUUCCUUUCUCCCUGCUAUUAAAUGAGAAAGAGGGCAUGAGGAGGUGGGAGUAAAGGAGCCAGAAAGGGAAGGUAGGAGACUGGCAAGAAGAAGCUCUGGCUGCUCUGGGAUGCAACAUGCAGGUUCCCGCAACCCUCCUGGAGUAGGAGGAGAAGCUGCCCCUCACUGACCACUCAGGAAGGAGAGAAGCUUCCCAUGUCAACGCCCCCAGCUCUCAUCUGGGUCAGAGCCAGCAAUGAGGACAGAUCCAAUCCUCUGGCAUUACAUCAAUGCAGAAAGAGAAGGUAAGUGCUUUCAAAGAGAAAAGGCAGCAGAGGUGGGCUGGGGGAGUGUUAUGGACUGAGUGUUUGUGUUCCCCCAAAAUUCACAUGUUGAAAUUGAAUCCCCAGUGUGAUGGUAUUAUGUGGUGGGACCUUUUGAGGUGAUUAGGUCAUGAGGGUGGAGCCCACAUGAAUUGGAUUGGUGCCUCUGUAAGAAGAGGUACCAGACGGCUUUUUAGCUCUCUUUCUGCUAUGUGAGAAUACAGCAAAAGUUGGCAAAGACCCUUGCCAGAACCUGUCUCUGCUAGCACCCUGAUCUCAGAUUUCUAGCCUCCAGAACAAUGAGAAAUAAAUGUUUGUUGGUUAAGCUA